CCCAGUCUAACAAGCCUAAUUUGAUAGUGUUAACUAAACCAGCAAAAGAUGAGCACACACACACACAAACGCGCCCGCACACCACACUGCCUUUAGUUCCUUAACUGGUUCUCGCUCUCUCCGGGCCUCUGCUUCGCCCUGUGGGGCUGUCCCUGGGGGGUGGACGGGGUGGUGGGGGGUGUUGGGCUGGACAGUGGGCUGGACAGUGGGCUGGACAGUGGGCUGGACAGUGGGCUGGACAGUGAGCUGGACAGUGAGCUGGACAGUGAGCUGGACAGUGAGCUGGACAGUGAGCUGGACAGUGAGCUGGACAGUGGGCUGGACAGUGGGCUGGACAGUGAGCUGGACAGUGAGCUGGCCUGGCAGCCUUUAGAAGAAGCAUCCUGGAGAGAGGGUGGACAAUCCUAAACCUCUGUCACACACACUGCCUCUCUAUGCCUUGUUUUUAUAGCAUGUACAAAUUAUUUGUCCUAAUGGCAUAUAUACACACACAUACAAACUAUAUCUUUAUAUAUUAUAUAUGAAAAGUAUAAACUGAGAUUUUUAAAAAGACAAAGCAUUUAAUGAAAUGACAUAUUCAGGAUUCUUUUUGUAGAAGUCUUUUUUUUUUUUGAGUGAUCAGGCGUGGUGAUGUCACUUCCUCCUGAUGUCACUUCCUCCGUCUGAUCUAGUAACCAGAAAAAAAAGGUGUGAAGACCAAGUCGGGCAAAAUCAAGGGACCUUUUGUUUGUAGUUUUUUUUGCAGGCAAUUUUUAUGAGAAAAAAAAACACAGAAAAACUACAACAAGCCAGAGAAGAGAGAACCACCAAGGGUGGUCGGCCAGACUAUUAUGCAGUAACUAACGAUCGAUAAUCAUUUUCUAAUGCAUGGGUAACCCAGUCCAUGCAUGGUCCCCAUCUGCUUAACCUGGGUGGUGCUGUGCUCUGUGUUGCAGCCUGGAGGUUUCAGGCUGGGCCAGGGUUGGCAGUGGAGGUCUGCCAAAGGGCCGUUAGUGAACUCCGCCAGUUAGCCCUAAUGCCCUUGGUUUACACUGGGAUUAAGCUGCCUGGGUACACUGUAAAAUAUGGAGGAAGCUUGCAUUAUGUCAGACUUGGCCUUGGGUAGACUGUUUAGAACACACACAACAUGGAAACAUACACACACAGUCCUGCAAACACUCACGCCUCCUGUGUUUGACCCUGCUGUGCUUCGUAGAUGUUUGUUUAAAUCCCCGAGCAUUGGGUUCUGGGGACAGGUCGAAAACCAGGCUUCUGAUUGGUCAAGUCUUAAAUGUGCCCCACCAGCCUGAGCCAAUCCAACGCAAGAUGAGUCAGAACCGGGGAUGCUAUCAGGCUGGCUGAGAUGAUCACAUCUCUGUGAUCAGACCCCUGUGAUGGUCAAUACACACACACACACGGUCUCCCCCAUCCCUCGCCUGCGCCUCCUCCCCGCGUCUGUAUUUAACCUGACAGCUGCCUUACUAAUACUCAUCCAUAUCUAGGUGACAGACUGGCUAUCAUGCUGCCUGCUCUGCUGUUUGUCACCCUCUCCUCUCGAUGUUCUCUCUCUCUCUCCGUUCUCUCUACAGCAAGCGUUGUCCACCUUUCGCCUCUCUGCGUUGUGAUCGGACUCAGUCGCGGCGAGGAAGGACGAGGCCCUAGCCAGUUAGAUUAAGUCGCGGCAUUCCUCGAGUCUCCUAGUCCUCGAGUCUCCUAGUCCUCGAUCCUAGAGUCUCCUAGUCCUAGAGUCUCCUAGUCCUUGAGUCUCCUAGUCCUAGAGUCUCCUAGUCCUCGAGUCUCCUAGUCCUAGAGUCUCCUAGUCCUCGAGUCUCCUAGUCCUAGAGUCUCCUAGUCCUUGAGUCUCCUAGUCCUAGAGUCUCCUAGUCCUCGAGUCUCCUAGUCCUAGAGUCUCCUAGUCCUAGAGUCUCCUAGUCCUAGAGUCUCCUAGUCCUAGAGUCUCCUAGUCCUAGAGUCUCCUAGUCCUUGAGUCUCCUAGUCCUAGUCCAGAGACCAGAUCCCAGGUAGCGAAGGGCAGACAGACUGCACCAAGACAACAUUGUUUUUUGUUUCAGUCGUUAGAAAAAGAAACUCAACUCAAGUGUUUUAUUUCCCCCUUCUUUUCUGAUGUCAAUAUUGCUGUUUAUUAUUAUUAUUAUUAUUGUUGUUGUUGUGGAUGUUAUCAUUAUUGUCAUUGUUUGAUUAUUUACCCCCACCCCACCCGACCCCAUUAAUCCAUGGCUCACUCGUAGCCAUUACAGUUUUAUUUUGUUUUUUUUAUUUCUUUAUUUUGUGCACAUCACCCGUGGCAAUGUGGACCUUGGUCCUCUUUAAGCCCACCUCCCCCCCCUUCCCCCUGGUUCAUGGUGUCGUUUUUACAUUUGUAAGAUACAUUUAAAAAGUGUCAUUUUAAUUCUGAGAGUUGCUAUGAUGACAGAAAUUACAGAGGGGGCUGAUAGGGAGGGAAGGGGGGGGGGUAUUUGUGGCAAGGAUUUAACUUGCAGGGAGGGAAGGGGUGGUAUGAUUUUAUCUGUCAGGUGUUGUAAUUUUUAUUUUAUAUUGUUACUUUUUUCUCGCGCUAUUGUAUAUUAUUUCAUUUUUUCGGGAUUGUAUUAUUUUAAAAGAAGAAAAAAAGAUGUGUAUUGUUUUACUGUGAAAGGUCUAUCUUUCUCAAUCUCCUACUAUAUCUCUCUCUCUCCCCCAUUUCUACUCCUAACCCUAAACGGUUACGUAACACUCGGAUGGAGAGAUAAGAUUUAAUACCAUGAUGUAACAUUGACUUUCUCUACUUUAAUUCUUUCGUGUUUAUUUUAUUUUAUUCCAAACUUGUAAUUAAGAUGUAAUCAGGGUUAAUUAAAACUGGUUAAAAACCA